rnacentral:rRNA from 1 species
CCUACGGGGGGCAGCAGUCGAGAAUCAUUCACAAUGGGGGAAACCCUGAUGGUGCGACGCCGCGUGGGGGAAUGAAGGUCUUCGGAUUGUAAACCCCUGUCAUGUGGGAGCCAAUUAAAAAGAUAGUACCACAAGAGGAAGAGACGGCUAACUCUGUGCCAGCAGCCGCGGUAAUACAGAGGUCUCAAGCGUUGUUCGGAAUCACUGGGCGUAAGGCGUGCGUAGGCUGUUUCGUAAGUCGUGUGUGAAAGGCGCGGGCUCAACCCGCGGACGGCACAUGAUACUGCGAGCCUAGAGUAAUGGAGGGGGAACCGGAAUUCUCGGUGUAGCAGUGAAAUGCGUAGAUAUCGAGAGGAACACUCGUGGCGAAGGCGGGUUCCUGGACAUUAACUGACGCUGAGGCACGAAGGCCAGGGGAGCGAAAGGGAUUAGAUACCCUUGUAGUC